rnacentral:rRNA from 1 species
AGAGUUUGAUCAUGGCUCAGGACGAACGCUGGCGGCGUGCUUAACACAUGCAAGUCGAACGGGACUAUUACGAAGGAGUUUUCGGACAACGGAGUAAUAGUUUAGUGGCGGACUGGUGAGUAACGCGUGAGGAACCUGCCUUUCAGAGGGGGACAACAGUUGGAAACGACUGCUAAUACCGCAUGACACAUUUGGGUGGCAUCACCUGGAUGUCAAAGAUUUAUCGCUGAAAGAUGGCCUCGCGUCUGAUUAGCUAGUAGGUGAGGUAACGGCCCACCUAGGCGACGAUCAGUAGCCGGACUGAGAGGUUGACCGGCCACAUUGGGACUGAGAUACGGCCCAGACUCCUACGGGAGGCAGCAGUGGGGAAUAUUGGGCAAUGGGCGAAAGCCUGACCCAGCAACGCCGCGUGAAGGAAGAAGGCUUUCGGGUUGUAAACUUCUUUGACAGGGGAAGAGCAGAAGACGGUACCCUGAAAACAAGCCACGGCUAACUACGUGCCAGCAGCCGCGGUAAUACGUAGGUGGCAAGCGUUGUCCGGAUUUACUGGGUGUAAAGGGCGUGCAGCCGGGAAGACAAGUCAGAUGUGAAAUCUGGAGGCUUAACCUCCAAACUGCAUUUGAAACUGUUUUUCUUGAGUAUCGGAGAGGUAAUCGGAAU